ACCAGGGGAGGGAGGAGAGCGAGGACAGGUUCUCACCAGUGCAGGGUUCAGAGGAAAGGUUACUUCCUCCCCAGAGCCAUGUGGAGAAUCGGAUGUGCUGGAAGACUGAGGGGGCCAUCUGAGUGGAGCAGAAUACGGUGACACUGGGAAAGUUCUUCGGGGGUGAGCAACACGUGUGCCUGGAGUGUGGCGACUGAAAGCUGGAGGUUUCUGAAGUUAUUUUACAGAUGAGUAUAUGAGGACAUUUCCCACCCCGGAAAGAGCUCUGCACUAAGUCAGAAGACCCAGUUGCUGGCCUGGUCCUUUGACAGACUUGACCUUAAGCCUUAGUUCCUUCAUCUGUCAGGAGGGAGAACAGCAUGACCCUGCCCGCCUGCCUGCUAGGGGCGCAGCGAGGCCCUUAAGAGCAAGAAUUACAGGCACCUGGGCUGCAUGUGGCUGACUUCCUAGAGAACUACUUUUACUACAUUACAUUUUACUGUGUGACAUCAUAGGCUCACCCUGAAGGUGUGAACAGAAACCAUUUCCACCCACACAGCUUGCUGCAACAUCCGCGGCUUUCCCAUCGCACAAAAGGCUCACUCAGGAGGAUUAAAGUUGCAAAUCACUCUGCUCACCUCAGGAACUGCCCCCUCAAAACCAUUAAACCAAAACAUGACUUUUCCAUAAUUAACACCCAACAAGACUCUUUGAAACUCUCACUUCAAAACUCUCACCUUUCUGUAUUCAACAAUCUUUACUAUAUUGUGAUCCUUAGUUCUAAAUCAGGCUCCUGCACGGAAAGACUAGCUUUAAACUAGACCUCAAACCCACCACACCUCUCACCUUUGAGAUGCUCCUGAGACUGUCAAGUUUGUGAUAAGCAAACAACUCAGUUUUUGCCUUUUCAAAAGGUAGUUUUGGCUGUAUUUUUGGAGAGCCAGAGUUUAACAAAGGAUACGCUGAGAAAGAGCGUGUUUUCUGAGUCUACUAGGAUAUUCAUUGCCUUACCACAAAGGCUUAUUUUCCUUUACAUCUUUUUUCUCUUCACCUUUACCUAAUUCAUGGCAUGUUGUAUAUUCCCAUAUACCAUCCCCAGGGUGUAGAAGGAGGAAGGUAUUGUAGCUGAUGCUGUCAGUGCCCCACCUGUAUCCCCUGGACCACAGGUCCUGCCAAACACUAAUUGACAGAAUCUGCCUUUGUGCCUGAGCGUUCUCCCCUCUCCCAGUUUAUAUCUGGGGAAGGCUGCAUAAUCCUUGCUUCCUUUGGCAGCCAGGGACGCUAAGAAGCAACACACGUGCAGCCUGAGCACUCAACCAGGGACUCCGAAAUUAGCACAUACGUAUCCCAGCUCCCUGGCCCUUGGGUGGAAUACUUUUUCAGGCAUGUGUUUUACACCUUGUCUCAGAGUUUGCCAUCAGGAUUAAGCUUUCGUGGCUCAUUGUGGAGCUGACUUUUUGGCUUCCUUUUCUUCCCUGGAUCUCUGUCCCACUUCCCUAUGAGUGUUACCCGUACUUCCCAAAUAAACUAUCUCCACUUUAAUCUUUGCCUCAGGAUCUUCUUCUGGGAGAAUCCAAAUUAAAAUAGGUGUCAACAAACAAAAAGGAAUAGA